UGGGGAAUAUUGGACAAUGGAGGAGACUCUGAUCCAGCAAUUCUGUGUGCACGAAGAAGGUUUUCGGAUUGUAAAGUGCUUUCAGCAGGGAAGAAGAAGGUGACGGUACCUGCAGAAGAAGCGACGGCUAAAUACGUGCCAGCAGCCGCGGUAAUACGUAUGUCGCGAGCGUUAUCCGGAAUUAUUGGGCAUAAAGGGCAUCUAGGCGGCCAAUCAAGUCAGGGGUGAAAACUUACGGCUCAACCGUGAGCCUGCCCUUGAAACUGAGGGGCUGGAGUGCCGGAGAGGUGGGCGGAACUACACGAGUAGAGGUGAAAUUCGUAGAUAUGUGUAGGAAUGCCGAUGAUGAAGAUAGCUCACUGGACGGCAACUGACGCUGAAGUGCGAAAGCUAGGGGAGC
rnacentral:rRNA from 1 species